rnacentral:rRNA from 1 species
UACGUAGGUCCCGAGCGUUAUCCGGAUUUAUUGGGCGUAAAGCGAGCGCAGGCGGUUAGAUAAGUCUGAAGUGGAAGGCUGUGGCUUAACCAUAGUAUGCUUUGGAAACUGUUUAACUUGAGUGCAGAAGGGGAGAGUGGAAUUCCAUGUGUAGCGGUGAAAUGCGUAGAUAUGUGGAGGAACACCGAUGGCGAAAGCGGCUCUCUGGUCUGUAACUGACGCUGAGGCUCGAAAGUAUGGGUAGCAAACAGG